rnacentral:lncRNA from 1 species
CAAAAAUUGAUUAUUUUUACAAAAGGAGUUUUCAAUAAUUGCACAUCAAAAAAUGAGCAAUGUUGCUAAUUCUUACAAAGUUGAUCACAUUCGGAUCUACUACUCAAGUUUGACUACAAAUCAAAAUUCUGCUUCUAAAAAUUUAAUAACUAAGAACAGGGUAUUGUUCUUUUCUUAGAAAGGUGGUAUACGUUGUGUUUUCUUGAUAAAUUUCUCCAAAAGUUUUAAGGCCAGGCCCAUUGUUUCGUGCGAGUUAGUCGCUAACAAUUAAAAGAGAUCAGACGAUUGUGUAAGGGACAAACCUCUUGAAACAAAGUCCCAAAAAGGGGUGUUCUUUAUUGGCGAUAACUUUACAAUCGGAAAUUAAAAACAGAAUGCCUUAAAGGGGCGCAAGCACACGAGUUACUGAAAAAAGUGUUUAAAUAUAAGUUAAGAAAUUUAAAAUUACAUGUUCUCUGUUCGAGAGUUUUUGAUUCGGUCUUUUGUUCUAUGUCUUUUCUUCCUUUUAUACUCCUUGGAUGAUCUUUUUGUGAUCAAUCGCCUAAAAACUGCUUGAUCGUUCUACAACUGCCCGCUUUCCUCGUAAUGGCUAACUUGUC